GCGGCGUGGAAGACCUCAUCGCAGAGACACUGAGAUUCACGCCUCACACAGGAGGAAAGGAGCGACAGGCAACUUCGUGGAACUGACAGUGAAGCCGGGCCAUCAUUCCUCUGAAGGUACAGCAAUGCAGAAUGAGAGAAACUAUGAGGAUUGUUGAUCCAAUUGGGACACUUUUGUGAAGACUUGAGCGUUACCCAACGAAGAGCCUACAGUGUUCCUUCUCCUUUGUCACUCUGGCACAUAGAUGGGAAUCAUGAGUUAAUUCAAUGGAGGAUAGUCAUUCAUGGCGGCAUUGAUGGCUACAGUAGAAAAAUAGUGUACCUGAAAGCCAGCAACAUCAACAGAGCUUGUACAGUUUUUGAAAGUUUUGUUGGAGCUGUAUAUCAGUUUGGCUUACCAUCACAAGUCCGAAGUGACAAAGGCCUUGAAAACAUUGAAGUGGCUCGAUUUAUGCUGGAGCAUCCUCGUCGUGUGUUGGACAGAGGAAGCCAUAUCACAGGUCGAAGUGUGCACAACCAGCGCAUUGAGAGGCUGUGGCGUGAUGUCUGCUACACAGUUACCAGCAAUUAUUAUGCUGCCUUGCAGUACUUGCAGGCAAUACAGGCACUUGACCCAGAUGAUGAACUUCACUACGUGAUGAUUCCAAGACUGAACAUGCACCUUGAUAUGUGGGACUGACGUCCUCUAUCCUCGGAGCACAUGAAAUCCCCACAGCAGCUAUGGAUUCAAGGGCUACUGUCAAACUACAGCAGCGGAAAUCCCACUUCCUGUGAGACUUGGAACUCUGAUAUGAUGGAUUUUGAUAACUAUGGAAGGACCUGGAGCCUGCCGUGAAUCAGAGCCCCCAGUUUCAUUGCAGGACACACUGGUUCCUCUCCUUCCAGUCAACAUUGACCCUUUGAGGACGAGCAGCUGUUUCGGACUUGAUCUUUAUUUAGAAGCAUUAAGUGUAGCAAACAACAGAAAUGCCUAAAUGUAGGUUUUAAGACCUUUACAUACCACAACCGCUCCUUUUCAUCCUGAAAAGGCUUUCAAACAUGUAUUGUACAGUGCACUCAGGUUUUAGCAAGGGUUCUCUUCUCAUCACCUCUGCAAGUGUUAAUGUGAAUAGUUUUUAUAAUAAAAAUAAUUAUUUUUACCCUUUUUAUUUUAAACCCAGUUUGUAAAGGCCAAU